rnacentral:ncRNA from 1 species
AUUUUUAAUAAAGAAUGAAAAUACCUCAACUUUUGUAAGUAUAUUUUAAUUAUUAUAAAUAGAAAACUUAAAAUAAAACCUUUACAUAUAUUAGUUAACAUGACUCUUUGAUGUCCGACAGAUUAGGCUAGUGAAUAAGUGCGUCGGCACUUUUCAGUCGAAGAGUUCGAAGUUCGAAACUGGGCGGUAGCUGAUAGGUUGUAUUCUUGGGCAAGGCACUUAACGGACAUUGCCUGAACCCAGAGGAUUAAUGAGUUCUACUAAAUUAAAAGAACGUGUGAAUCAUACACAACAUACUACAAUAGCUCAGGUACCCGGAAAAGGGGGAUCACCAGGAAAUCAAACGAAAGACAAAGUCUUUGGGUUCCGGGGGAAGUAUGGUUGCAAAGCUGAAACUUAAAGGAAUUGACGGAAGGGCCCCACCAGGAGUGGAGCCUGCGGCUUAAUUUGACUCAACACGGGAAAUCUCACCCGGCCCGGACACAGUGAGGAUUGACAGAUUGAGAGCUCUUUCUUGAUUCUGUGGGUGGUGGUGCAUGGCCGUUCUUAGUUGGUGGAGCGAUUUGUCUGGUUAAUUCCGAUAACGAACGAGACUCUGGCUUGCUAAAUAGUUACGCGACCAUCCCGGUCGGCGUUUAACUUCUUAGAGGGACAAGUGGCGUUUAGCCACACGAGAUUGAGCAAUAACAGGUCUGUGAUGCCCUUAGAUGUUCGGGGCCGCACGCGCGCUACACUGACCGGAUCAGCGUGUGCUCUCCUUGGCCGACAGGUCCGGGAAACCCGUUGAACCCCGGUCGUGCUAGGGAUAGGGAAUUGCAAUUAUUUCCCUUGAACGAGGAAUUCCCAGUAAGCGCGAGUCAUUAGCUCGCGUUGAUUACGUCCCUGCCCUUUGUACACACCGCCCGUCGCUACUACCGAUUGAAUGGUUUAGUGAGGUCCUCCUGAUUGGACCCGGUCCGGG